UGGAGAUACUCAAUAAACAAGUAGAUGUGGUUACUAGGGACGUCGCUUAGUUGGCGAUAUUGAUGCACUACAGUACGAAUGGGGGAGAGUCACAUUCCUCAGCUCAUCCCUUUCUCCAAACUGUUACCAGGAAGGGUCUACAUGCAGAAAUACGUCCUUUUCCAACAUAAGGAAGUGAUGAUAAAUGUGAUUGCCAAGCCACCAGCCUUUCUCAGCACCAUCCACUUACUUCUCAAGCUAAUGAGGAGAGCUGUAUGUUGCAAAUGAGAGCUGUAUGUUAACAGAGAAAAGGCAGCACAGAAAUAAAAAUUAUAAGAACAGUUGUGCAGAA